GACGAACGCUGGCGGCGUGCUUAACACAUGCAAGUCGAACGCUGAAGCUUGGUGCUUGCACUGGGUGGAUGAGUGGCGAACGGGUGAGUAAUACGUGAGUAACCUGCCCUUGACUCUGGGAUAAGCCUGGGAAACUGGGUCUAAUACUGGAUAUGACAUGCCACUGCAUGGUGGUGUGUGGAAAGGGUUUUACUGGUUUUGGAUGGGCUCACGGCCUAUCAGCUUGUUGGCGGGGUAAUGGCCUACCAAGGCGACGACGGGUAGCCGGCCUGAGAGGGUGACCGGCCACACUGGGACUGAGCGACGGCCCAGACUCCUACGGGAGGCCGCAGUGGGGAAUAUUGCACAAUGGGCGGAAGCCUGAUGCAGCGACGCCGCGUGAGGGAUGACGGCCUUCGGGUUGUAAACCUCUUUCAGCACGGAAGAAGCGAGAGUGACGGUACGUGCAGAAGAAGCGCCGGCUAACUACGUG
rnacentral:rRNA from 1 species